UGCCAACAAAGUGCAUUUCAAAGCUACCCAAAGUCUAAAUAGCUGUCCUACCUCAAGAAGCAUGUACUUGAUCUGCCUGAUUCUCACUCCUUUAGCUCCUCCCCUUGAAAAAAUGACGUCCAUCAGUUUUGGGGUCAAGUGUAGCCAUUCAAGGCUUACAGUGGUUGAACUCUUGAAUUCCUCCUUUAUCUGUAUGUAGCCCGGAUGGGAGUUUGGGAAUGGAUGCAAUGUUCCCAUGGACUUGAACGCCACAGUAGCAUGAGGUAUUCACAGUUAAUUUUAUGUGAUGUAACUGUACUCUGAAUGAAAUUUGCCCUGUAAUAAGUCACAAGGUGAAUACAUGUAUUUAGAGCAAUGAAACUGUUGUGUUAAUCAUAAAGUAUUAUGUUAUGUGAUUUUGAAGAGAGUUGAAAUGUGGAUCGGAGUUCUGAUUUUCUAGAGGCCCGUGAAGGUAGCAUAGGACGGGACCUGUGUUUUUUGUUGCAGAGACGGAAGGGAGGUGUGCACGCGCAAGCUGAACAAAAAGGAGAGACUCAGCUAGUUUUUGACUGCGGUUGACUAGCGGAAAAGAGUGCGUGAUUCGGAGGUCCACCGGGCUAGAGCUUCGCGGCAGAGGCGGGCGAAGCAACCUUUCGGUUUGGCGGUCGCACCACCGUGAGAACCGUGUUUCCAGCUGCAGCGGGCGGGGCUGGAGGCUAGCUUGGACCUGCUUGGCUGCGUCACGGAGGCGGCCGCGGAGGGCUGUUGGGCAGCGGGACGGCGUCUGGCUGAUGCGCCGCGGCAGAGACAGCAUCGGAUCCGCCGGGAGAGCGGAGAGUGGAUUUAGUUCGGGACUGGAGGACGGUAACCUACCGAGCAACUGAACUGUAAGUUGGAUUUUCGUGCUGUUACGGGAAAGAAGAGGAUUUUUCUCUCCAUCAUCCAUCGUGAGCAGCAAACAGGCCUGCAAUCAGUGUGAAUGUGAAUGUGAAUGUGAGUGUGUGUGGGGCCCAUGUGUGAACAGUGUGUAUCUAGUGGAUUUAUAUAGCCUAGUCUCGAGUAUAUAUUAGUGUGUUAUGUGCCAAGAGGUGAUAACAUAAGUUGUAUUGUUUAACCUAAUUUCAAAGGGGAAUUAGUUCAUUUACCCAGCUUGUUUCAUUUGUUUAUGGAGCUGGAUAUCAUUUGAGUUGAGCCGAGAAAAGGGUGUGUUGUACAUUAUUUUUCCUGCCUUUGCAUCCAGUAAACUUUUUGUUUAUGUUAAAGAGUUGUCUGGGGUCGAUUCUUUUAUUGCUGGUUAAGUUUAACUUGCAGGUCAGGGCCUACUGGUAGUUUCCCUGAUUCCUGUCUAUACCAGAACCAUUCGUGGUAUCUGGGCUGUAACGAACCUAACACCCCGCCUAGGGGGUCCAAACUGAGGUACGUGGGUUUAGACUCAGUAUAACGGGUGGGGUGCUACAUGUAGACCACACAAACAGAAGAAUUAAAUCUUGCAGACUAUUAGCUAUUUUGCAUUAAUUAAUGCUCUAAUACAUUAGUUAAAGAUGAUAGAUGUGAUCUAAGGCUACCCCAAGGGAACAAAAACAAUCUUAGUGAAGAGAAGAGAGACAUUCCCCACCAUAACCAUGGCGUAAUCUGUAAUGCUUUAGCAACCCUGUUUUUGUAGAGGUUUCAAAUUUACACAUUGUGCACUCCCAGCCCAUUUUGUAAAAAAUGUGUACCAACUUAACAACUCAUUAAUGACCCUAGAUUAUCAUACUAUACUAACUGCUUACAUAAAGUCUUAAUGUUAAGUAGAUUCACAUAGCCUAUGCUAGAAUAAUGCUACUGGAAUGACAUUAAUGAUAUUUCACACAACCUGAUAUGUUAAAAAAGAACAAAACAAAACCAGCGAAAUUAGAUUGCAUUGUGUAGCAAAACUUUAACCAUGCUUUUCCUAGCCACAGCAGCUCUCUCUAGCUGAAGACCUUUGUCAAAUGAAACUUUAUUAG
rnacentral:lncRNA from 1 species